rnacentral:rRNA from 1 species
GACGAACGCUGGCGGCGUGCUUAACACAUGCAAGUCGAACGCGAAAACCCUUCGGGGUGAGCAGAGUGGCGAACGGGUGAGUAACACGUGGGCAACCUGCCCCAAGGAGCGGGACAACCCGGGGAAACUCGGGCUAAUACCGCAUGAUUCGCCGGCACUCAAGUGCCGGCGGCAAAUGGUAGCUUCGGCCUCCGCCUUGGGAUGGGCCCGCGGCGCAUUAGCUUGGUGGUGAGGUAACGGCUCACCAAGGCGACGAUGCGUAGCUGGGCUGAGGGGACGAGCAGCGCAGCUGGGACGGGGACGCGGCCCAGGCUCCUACGGGAGGCAGCAGUGGGGAAUCGUGCGGAAUGGGCGGAAGCCGGACGCAGCAACGCCGCGUGUGGGAAGGCGGCCCUCGGGUUGUAAGCCACUUUUAGGGGGGACGAAGGUUCCAGGGUUAAUAGCCCAUGGGGUGACGGUACCCCCAGAAGAAGCCCCGGGUAACUACGUGCCAGCCGCCGCAGUAACAC